rnacentral:tRNA from 1 species
AAGGAGAAAAGCGAAGGCGAGCGUUUCGCCGCGAUGGGCAAAUGUUCUUCGCCUAGAGGGAUGUUUACAUCCCGAAGGCGAAGGUUAUUUGACCCCGAGCGGCGGCGAGCCGGAGCUAGACAGAAUUUCUUGACAAAACCUAUCAGUUUGAUUAUAAUGACGCUUGCUGUUUUGUUUAGUUUUGAGGGAACUUAUUGUUCCUUGCAAUGUGUAUAUGGGCCUAUAGCUCAGCUGGUCAGAGCGCACGCCUGAUAAGCGUGAGGUCGGUGGUUCAAGUCCACUUAGGCCCAUUGGAUGGGGCCUUAGCUCAGCUGGGAGAGCGCCUGCUUUGCAAGCAGGAGGUCAUCGGUUCGAUCCCGAUAGGCUCCACCAUAUCAAGGUAAGAGGUUUCAACGUAGUUGCUUUGCGUCUGCGUCUACAAGCGGAUUCGGAGAAGCUGAAUUUCUCGACGCAAACCAGCGAAGAAGCGAAUUCAAAGGAGCUACUUUGCGCCUUCGUCUUCCAGCAGGUUCAAGGAAGAUGGAUUCCUCGGCGCAAAGUUGCAAAGAAGCAGACUCAAGGCAGCAGCUUCGUUCCUUGAAAACUAGAUAACCGAUAAAGCAAAGGAAGAAGCCGAGAGCGCAAUA